rnacentral:ncRNA from 1 species
AACCAUUCGACGAAUGAGAGAGUAUGAAAUGAUGUGAUUCACAGCGAGCUGGGUUGGUGUAAGCCAGUAUAAACACGUUUCAGAAACGCACUCAGGAGAAAUUGAAUUGUUAUCAGAACAAUUCAAUCGGGUUCCACCCGUUACCUGGAUAAAAGUGGCACAAUUGUGCAAGCGGAGUGGUACCACGGGCAAUUCAUUCUCGUCUCCAAG